GUUUGCCAAACAAAAGGUAUAAGUAGGGGUUAUUGGUUAUUGUAUUUUAAUGAAUUUGAAAAUCUGAACUAAAUCUAAUGUUAUUGGUUCUGUGAUUUACAAAUAUGUAUUAAAAUCAUGUGUUAUUGGUUUAAUUAUUCAUAAAUUCUAUAUCAAAUCAAGUGUUAUUCAAUCGUACGGAUUUACUAAUGGAUUUGAUUUUAUAAUGGAUUUGAAUGAAUUUAUUUGGAUUUUGUAGUUAAAAAUAAAAAGAUUCAAAUCUGAGAAAAAACCUCUGAAUUUGCAUAUUUUAUUUGCAUUUAUAAAUACUAUAUGGAUUUCUAAAUCAACCUAAAUAUAUAAACCAAUAACACCUAUACAAAAGGUUGAUUUAAUAAUUUUGAAAUAUCUAUCGUUCUACUACAUCUUGUACAACCAAGAUUAUGUUAGCAAAUCUCUCUUAAUAUUAUGCAAAUUGUCAGCUAAAAGCAAAUUUCAAAACUAAAGAAGGAUGCUGAGUUACGAGAAAACCCAAAAGAAAGGAUGAUGAGUUAAGUCCUUCAGUGUUGACAAGGGCUUUUAUGAUUAAUGUGAAAACUCUUGAACAAAAUCAUACAACACAAAGGAUCCUCAAGAAAUUUUUAAAAGGAUCCCACCCUCGAGGUUCAGGCUUAUAGUAAAACAUCAUCAUCAAAAGGGAAAUGAAAUAAUAUAGAAAACCAAAGAAUAAUAAUAAUAGUCGAGCCUAUUUCAAAAUAUGGUUAUAAGAAAUGAUUUAACACCACACAAACCCAAAAUUCUUCUUCUCCACGUUCAUGCCUCACACUUUUCGUCCACUCUUAUUAACGAAUGGUUGGUUGGACACACUUUAGAACUCAAACUUACAAGAACGCAA